UACGGGGGGGGCAAGCGUUGUUCGGAAUUACUGGGCGUAAAGGGCGCGUAGGCGGCCAGCACAAGUCAGUUGUGGAAUCUCCGAGCUUAACUCGGAACGGUCAACUGAUACUGUGCGGCUAGAGUGCGGAAGGGGCAACUGGAAUUCCUGGUGUAGCGGUGAAAUGCGUAGAUAUCAAGAGGAACACCUGCGGCGAAGGCGGGUUGCUGGGCCGACACUGACGCUGAGGCGCGAAAGCGUGGGGAGCGAUCCGG
rnacentral:rRNA from 1 species